UACGGAGGAUCCAAGCGUUAUCCGGAAUUACUGGGCGUAAAGCGCACGCAGGCGGUUCGCCAAGUUUGGAGUGACAGUUGUCGGCUCAACCGACAAAGGACUUCAAAAACUGGUGAACUUGAGGACGAGAGAGGAACAUGGAACUCCAGGUGUAGUAGUGAAAUGCGUAGAUAUCUGGAAGAACACCAAUGGCGAAGGCAAUGUUCUGGCUCGUUUCUGACGCUCAGGUGCGAAAGCCAGGGGAGCGAACGGG
rnacentral:rRNA from 1 species